rnacentral:lncRNA from 10 species
AUGAUGGGUUUUGAGAUGAUUCUUUCAUUCUGAGCACAGCCUAUACAGAAGUGUCUAGCAGUACCCUGUAAAAUAUGGAUGUACUUUGGACCCAUAGAUUUCAGCUUCGACAUUUCAACCAAAUUUCUUAGACAUCAGAAGAGGCAUUUCAACAUAAUUCUAUGGUCAGACAGGUUGACUGGAUGUGAAGCCUUUAUAACAUUGCUCUUAAGCGCGGUUUGCUGAAUUAACCAGGAGCUUGCACUGAACAUCUACCACACACCAUUGGUCCUAUAUGAGUCGUUGGAGAGAGCAUUCAAAGAAUCUUCUGGGGCAUUUGCAGGGGACUAAGAUGGCAGAUAGCAGGCAGGACUAGCUUGCAGCCCCUGCUCGGAUGGACAGAGCAAUGUGUGGAGACUCACACUGUGAACUUUGUCUCCAAGACUACACAGGAACAUAUCAGGAAAACCUAGAGAAUCCGCAGAGCCUUUGAAGAAACUGGGUCACCAUUACAGGCUCCCUGAGAUACCAAAAAACUGUGAGCCCGCUUGCUUUCUCAACAGGGAGUCUCGUGGUCUGGGGCAAGUUCUCAGCCCUGGUCACCGGCUGCCAGGAAAUAGAUUCAGUUCUGUUGGUGGGGCACUGUGGGAGUGAGACUAGCUGGACGGAGAAUGACUUUGACAAGCUGAGAGAAGAAGGCUUCAGAAGAUCAAAUUACUCCGAGCUACGGGAUGAAAUUCAAACCAAAGGCAAAGAAGUUGAAAACUUUGAAAAAAAUUUAGAAGAAUGUAUAACUAGAAUAACCAAUACAGAGAAGUGCUUAAAGGAGCUGAUGGAGCUGAAAACCAAGGCUCGAGAACUACGUGAAGAAUGCAGAAGCCUCAGGAGCCGAUGCAAUCAACUGGAAGAAAGGGUAUCAGCGAUGGAAGAUGAAAUGAAUGAAAUGAAGCGAGAAGGGAAGUUUAGAGAAAAAAGAAUAAAAAGAAACGAACAAAGCCUCCAAGAAAUAUGGGACUAUGUGAAAAGACCAAAUCUACGUCUGAUUGGUAUACCUGAAAGUGACGGGGA